rnacentral:lncRNA from 1 species
CACAUCCUCCAAAUGAACGAACAGAGUAAGAGCAACAAAUUACGAUGUCACGGGUUGUUGUGUGUGGCUGAGGGAGAGUAUGGAGACGAGAGAGAAACAAAUUGGAUAAGUGAGGAAGGCGGAUUAGGGCGGAUUAGGGUUAGGCAAGGGUUUCUGACAACAAUAGAGAUGACAGAGAAAAUGUUGGAGUGAGAGAGAUGAAAGAGAAAGUGUUAAGAGGAAUGAGGGAGGUGAGUAAGGGUUUGAGGUUUUUUUUUUUUUUAGUUUUUUGAGAAUGAAAAUUAUUUAAAUAUCCUUGACCUUAAAACUUAGAAUCCAUAAUUAAUAAGGGUAUUUUUGUUUACUAUAAUCCGAUACACAUUGUUAAAACGUACGCGUAUUAACAAACCCCAU